AACGCACAUUGCGCCCUCCGGUAUUCCGGGGGGCAUGCCUGUUCGAGCGUCAUUUCACCACUCAAGCCUAGCUUGGUCUUGGGCGAUCCGCGGUCCGCCGCGCGCCCCAAUGUCUCCGGCUGAGCGACCGUCUCGAAGCGUUGUGGUAACCCAAAUCGCUUGCGGAGUGCGGGAGUUUGGGCCGUUAAACACCCCCAUACAGGUUGACCUCGGAUCAGGUAGGGAUACCCGCUGAACUUAA
rnacentral:misc_RNA from 1 species